UAACUUACAAGAAGCUGAGUUUGUGAGGCGCUGUCAAAAACUGUCAUUGGAGCUUUUAUAUAUUGUUCAUCCAAAGCAUCACUGAAAUAUACUUGUGUUUAUUUAAAAUAAAAAUUCUGAAUUCUGAUCUAUUUUCUAUUAUUGUUAUAUUUUUCAAUGAAACUAAUGCAGGUGUUUCAUCGAAUUAGGGCUGUCAACGAAUAUUCUAAAUUCAAAUAUAUAUUCGAAUAGUUUUAAAAAAACGUAUUUCGAAGGUGAAAAUUAAUAUUCGAAUAAAAAAAAAUGUGGAAAAAAACGCCCGCGAUAGUAGAGGUGUGGCUGAGGGUUCAGGGACAGGUCACAGGAGUCGCACUGUCUGGCACAGCAUCACUGCUGAUGCGUCUUGCAUGGAAGAUGGCAGAAAGUGCAGAGCCCAACUCAACCGCAGCAGAGAAAGCGAUUUUAACCCCCCAAAAUCUAAAAAGCCAUGUCUGGAAGUACUUUGGAUUUUGGUCGGUAGGACGUCAACCCGCUGAGAAAACACGGACAGCCCAGACCAGGACAUCAGUCUGCUGCUUCAAAAAGAGAUGUUGAUGUAUGAACAAGAGUCUCCAAUACCUGCUCAACAAAAUCCUCUCAUGUGGUGGAAAACUUUGGGCUCUGGGAGAUACCCUCACGUCACCCAGAUGGCAAAGAAAUAUCUUUCCAUCCCUGGAUCCUCAGUGCGCUCUGAACACGUCUUUUCCUCUGCUGGGAAUAUAGUAAAUAAAAAGAGAUCAGCACUGGCCCCUUCA
ensembl:lncRNA